rnacentral:lncRNA from 1 species
CACAUUUUUUGUGUGUUUGCUUGUUAUCUUAUCUUUGAAGUCCUCUGGGAGACCGUGAUCUGCCUUCAACUGACAUGAACACAGUCUGACUACAAAUCAUUGUUUGAGGAAGUGAUUGUGUGACUUUUUACCUCCAAGAUAACAGUUAAAGAGCCUGUCCAGGUCUCUCAAAUUAAAUGCAUAGCUACUCAGUGCAUAAAGCUUUCAUUAGCAUGGCUGCCAAAGGUACCAGGUCAGAGCUCAGCCCUCCAUCUUUGAUGGCCCCAGUUCAGUCAGUGCUCUCAGAUCUCACUCUUUUCCUAACACCCUCCCUGGGUUUCAGAAAACACUUAUUUUGCAGCUCUUUGAGAGCAAACUAGGAGUGUGGGUUUUCCCUAAUUUCUUUUUUCAUGGGGCUAUCUGUUUUCUCACACAUAAUUACUCCCCCUGUUCUUUUUAAGGUUCUGCUGCCAGAAACUGGAAACGACUCCAUGCUUCAAGUGGAAAAUCACAGCAUACCUACUGCUGUGAUAACUGAGCACCUGUCAAGAUACUAUAUUGCUAGUCAUGGAAAUGGAAGUCAUCUCAGAUUUAUCAACAGAGAAGCUGACAUUUGCUGCCUGGCAAGUUUCUCAGCUUUUGUGCCUCAACCUUGACCCUCAAGGAUCUACUUCUAAGGCAAGAAAGCAGCGAAUUCUCCCCACGGAUUUAAUCACCACCUCCUCUGCUAUGGGUUCUGAUUCAUGAGGUGGUAGAGAUCUCUUUAACCAAACCAGAUCACCUGGAAGUAGUCACUGCUACAGGACACAGAGCACACACUUGCCACAAGCUGACUUUGGCAUCCCAGGAUCCAGUAAUACCCGCAGUGAAGUGGAAAUCUGCCCCUUACUUGAGACCACAAGUGGAUCAUUGAUGCCAGUGGGCACCUUUCAGAUAUUAAGGCUCUAUUUGAACUGCAAGACAUUUUUUAUACCCUCAUUGUCCUUUGAGCUCACAAAGAAUGCUCACAAUCUUACAAAAAAGCCACGCUCCAAAGUCAUCAAGUGAUAUUAGAUCGUGUCUCAAAACCACUAGAGGUGAGCGCUCAAAGAUUCCUGUCUCUUAAUACUGAAUUGCUCCAUUAUAACUACCAGUAAAAACAAGUGUGGUUUGUCCUGUGCACUGCUGUCUUUCUCAGUUAAUGUUUUUCACAGAAGUCCAGGUUUAAGUUCUCUCCCUUUCUUUUUCCAGAUUCCCUCUAUUUCCCAGAAGGUGUUCCAGAGCUGGAGCCAAUUCAGCUGCCAAGACGCUGCCUUUCUCACCUGCUGAUUGCAAUUAGCCACUGCCAGCUGGGACCUGGUGUGCCACUGAAGAGCUAACAAGAAGCAGAGACCAGCAUGAUGCCUUGACAGCACAUACACAGUGAAUAAAUAAGAAAUGCUGCGCUGUAUUCCUGAAGUU